rnacentral:misc_RNA from 1 species
GAUGAAGAACGCAGCGAAAUGCGAUACGUAAUGUGAAUUGCAGAAUUCAGUGAAUCAUCGAGUCUUUGAACGCACAUUGCGCCCCCUGGUAUUCCGGGGGGCAUGCCUGUCCGAGCGUCAUUGCUGCCCUCAAGCACGGCUUGUGUGUUGGGCCUCCGUCCUCCUCCCGGGGGACGGGCCCGAAAGGCAGCGGCGGCACCGCGUCCGGUCCUCGAGCGUAUGGGGCUUCGUCACCCGCUCUUGUAGGCCCGGCCGGCGCUUGCCGACACAUCAAUCUUUUUUCCAGGUUGACCUCGGAUCAGGUAGGGAUACCCGCUGAACUUAAGCAUAUCAAUAACGGGGA